ensembl:lncRNA
GCUUGUAAAGAGUGAUGUCGCUCGAGAGGAUUAUGGCUUUUACAGUGUCAUGGCCGCCAGGGACACAUCUGGCGAGACGUGCGGGAAAUGCCUCUACAAUCUGCCGCAGAUGAACCAUCAACCACAGGAAGUGGGAGGGUUUUAACUGGAGCUAAGGGUGCUGGGAUUGGACAUCGACCGAACCGAGAUGUUUGAGAACCACCCCCCUAAAGAACUGACCUCUUGCCACUUGAAACCUGCUCAUUGUUUCUAUUCCAUCCAAAUGUUUUCUAGCAUAUUGUCCCUCCUCCCCCCUCCCUUUCCCUUCCUCCCCUCUCCACCCUCUCCCUCCGUUUUCGGUGUGUGUAUGGAUGGCACGUCGGAGGAAAAAACGGACAUCGAUGAAGUGUGCGCUCUCACUCAUCAUUACCUUUAGAUUUUUGCUGCAUUUUUUCAGGUGCCAGAAUGUUUUGACAUAUCAACUGUGUUCCACUACCUACUCUCCAUCACCUCUGAGGCGUCGUCUUACUACCUUGUAUGAGAUGUCGCUCGAGGGCCUGCCAGGACCAGCUCAUCCAUCAUUCAUCUGUCCACGAUCUGAGUCCUGUGGAUCUAUGCAGAUGAGCCCCGCCUACCCUCCCUGACCACUGCCACCACCACCACCACCGCCACCACCGCCACUUUCACCAAUCCCCCUUGUCCUUUCUGUUGUAAAUAUGUUCUGAGGAUGUGGGAUCCCAAAAUGGCCGCCCCCACCCUUCCCAGCCCUCCCCAACACUCCCCUCCCCCCUCCCUCCCCCCCACUGUUGGAAUCUCACUGUGUUUUCUGUUCGCCUCCUUGGUUUUUGUCUGUUUUUUGAGAUUUUUGCCGCAUUUUUCUGUUGUCUAAAGCAGUGGUGUGAGUUGAUGAGUAGGACUAAGUUGGAUGUUAAAAAGACGAGAUAAAGAGGUCUUGAGAAAAAUAUACAAAAAAAAUGAAGCUUGAAUUGAGAAAAAGGGUUCAAAUAUAGAGAAAAAAAUAUGAUGAAGUUGUCAUAUUGUCAUACUAGAGAUGCUUUAGUUUGCUAAUUUACUUUCUUUUUUUUCUACAAAAGACUUGGAUGAAAUUAUUUAUAAAAUGCGUCCCACGAGUCAUGAUCUUUUUUGGACGUAAAACAAAUACAUUUAUUAACAUUUUGUUCAAAAGAAAAUAAAUAUAAAUUAUGUUAAACAUUACUGGUGUUUGUGAUUUUUUUCACUGGGUGUCUUUGACUUUUGUUAUGGAAUCGGAAUGAGGUCAAUGUGUUAUAAAAGGUGCAAUAUGUAAAAAAUUGCCAUCUGUCUACUUUAUAUAGCAACAAAUUGGGUGCUGUGUAUCGCUAGCGAUCGUUAACUGCUGCUAGCCUUAGCUUCCAUUAGCUACUGUAGCGGUCCGGACUGGGAGCACCAGGGUAGUGUUGGUGUUGACACCACAAGCUUUGGACCAUGACGGGCUGGAGCUAGCUGGUUAGCAUGCUAACCUCAGUAGAUAUCUUUGCAACAGCAGUACUCAGACGUCCUAAUGUCAACACUGCUUUUGUUGCUCACAAUCUGUUGCUCAUGAAACAUUUCUCAAAUCUAACAUAUUGCACCUUUCAAAAAAUAAGCGCAUUGGAAUAAAAUGCGUCGAGUAUAUAAAUAAAGCAACAGUUUUGGGGAAGUAUUUCAAGAGAUUAUUAAAACUCAACUCAUUAUUUCAACAAAUUUUAUUUUACCAUUAAUUUUCACAAUGACAGAAUUUCUAUUUCAAAGCACCUAUUUUCAAAAAUGUGCUUUUAUUUCACAGUGACACCUGACUUAAUGUACAUUUGUAAUUCAGAAGGAAACUGUUCGUCACACCCUCAUCGCCUGGCAGAUUUCAUGCCCCCUGCCUCCUUGUAGCUAGCAAGCUCAACAAGUGGUACCAAAUCUAGCCUGUUAGCGAGGGCAACAACGAUGUCAAAGUCAUUUUCCACCAACUAGAAAUUCCUGCUGUAAAUAAGCACAUUACAUGGAUGCAUAACUGAAUAAACCAGCUAAACUGACUCUUUAAUAUCCAACACUUUCUGGAUUUCUGGAACACUAUCUGGAUUAACAGAUAGUAAAGCAUCUGCUGUGACACACACAGUUCAUUUCAGUUUCUCACACUGGCCAGCAGAGGGAAGUAUAGCAUCAUAUCCAAAAAUUCAGACCAGAUGUCCUCAUGAAGCAGAUUUUAUGAGCAGCUACAGCACUGUAUGCCCUGUCACUCUCCAACCAGAACAGCAGUCACUUCUCAUUUCCACUCACUCUCCGGUCCUGAUUGCUUUCCAUCAGGCGCUCUCCCAAUGAGUCAUUUUCUUUCCUCUUUCCACACAGCAGUGUUUCCUCAAGUGCAAAACAUCAUUUAGUCCUGGAGAGUCUCAAAAUCUGAUUUCACACCUGUGGGCAUCAUCAGCUUGAUGAAGUUAUAAAUAUUCUCCAAACGGGCAAAACAUCUGUACCCAAAGAAAUGAUCUCACGUCUCGGGCAGGCUUCUUAAAACCUAUGAUAAAUUAAAAACAAAAUCUGUGUUUAUUAUACGUCAGGUUGGAUUCAGCUUGUGAUUGUAUUAUAUACAUUACAUUCGAUCUUGUGAAAGACUGAAAUUUCUGAUUUGUGAAAUGUUCUGCCGAUGUUUUGUGUUUCAUCCAACAGAUCCUCUCCCAAAACCUGCGUGCUACACCUUUAACCAGAUUUCUCUGAGGGGGCCACAUGAGGGCAGCAGAAACAAGCAGUGAACACAAUAUUGUCAACUUAUUAAACUGACAUGGCAUUAGCAAACAGUAGCAUGCUAGUUUGCUAUGCUACCAUGCUACGUUGCAACUCGCGCAAUUUCGUCAUACAUUCGGCAAAAUCAGUGUUUAUUUGGGGGAUCAUUCCGUAAAUAUGAUUGUGGAGUAAUUCUGUUUUUAAUGACUUUAGCGUCCCUCAAUAAGCAGCAGGGAGUCGCAGGAUUCAUGAACCUCUUAAGUCUGUAUUAGUUCAGUUUAAUUUAUUUGUUUAAGUGUGGUUUAGGAAACACAUGUGAGUCGCAUUCACUGGUUGUUUAUGCACACACACAUAUGACACAUUUUAAAAAGAAACUGACAUAGGUAGGUAGAUAGGUAGAUAGAUCUUACUACAGGUGAGUGGCAGGUGAGUAGCAAAUCAUCUACACCUAACAGACAUUUCUGUGAAAGCUUGUGAUGCAAUGGUUAGCACUGAUUAUUGUCAGUGCUCCUUUGCAUAGCUGUGUUUGCCCUGCUAUAACGCAUCUGUUAAAACUGGCUUAAUUUGAUAGAGUAGUCAAGAGGUGUGCAAUUUAUCUUCAAGCAGUGGGUGUCAAACUCUGGGUUGUGACACACUAGUGGCUUGCAGCAUCGGGACAGGUGUGUCGUGGGAAAGCUGUAAUGGCUGUAAUGCAGGGUAAGUAAGAACAGAAGAUGGAAUCACACACACUACCAAAAGUGGACUGAAUUAUUCAUUCCAAGGAUAUAUCUUGUUAUCCUGAUAUAUCUAGG